CGGACGAUGACAUUAGCUGCAGAAUAAGCACCGGCUAACUCUGUGCCAGCAGCCGCGGUAAUACAGAGGGGGCAAGCGUUGUUCGGAAUUACUGGGCGUAAAGGGCGCGUAGGCGGUAAGCAUAGUCAGGUGUGAAAUCCCCGGGCUCAACCUGGGAAUGGCGCUUGUGACUGCACGGCUGGAGUGCGGCAGAGGGGGAUGGAAUUCCGCGUGUAGCAGUGAAAUGCGUAGAUAUGCGGAGGAACACCGAUGGCGAAGGCAGCCCCCUGGGCCUGUACUGACGCUCAUGCACGAAAGCGUGG
rnacentral:rRNA from 1 species